CUGACGCAGCGACGCGCGUGAGGGAUGACGGCUCGGGUGUAAACCUCUUCAGCAGGGACGAAUUCAGACGGUACCUGCAGAAGAAGCACCGGCCAACUACGUGCCAGCAGCCGCGGUAAUACGUAGGGUGCAAGCGUGUCCGGGAAUUAUUGGGCGUAAAGAGCUCGUAGGCGGUCUGUCGCGUCGGCUGUGAAAACUCGGGGCUCAACCCCGAGCGUGCAGUCGAUACGGGCAGACUAGAGUGCUGUAGGGGAGACUGGAAUUCCUGGUGUAGCGGUGAAAUGCGCAGAUAUCAGGAGGAACACCGGUGGCGAAGGCGGGUCUCUGGGCAGUAACUGACGCUGAGGAGCGAAAGCGUGGGGAGCGAACAGGAUUAGAUACCCUGGUAGUCCACGCCGUAAACGGUGGGUGCUAGGUGUGAGCGGUAUUCCACGCCGUUCGUGCCGCAGCCAACGCAUUAAGCACCCCGCCUGGGGAGUACGGCCGCAAGGCUAAAACUCAAAGGAAUUGACGGGGGCCCGCACAAGCAGCGGAGCAUGUGGCUUAAUUCGACGCAACGCGAAGAACCUUACCAAGGCUUGACAUACACCGAAAACUCGUAGAGAUACGGGGUCCGCAAGGGCGGUGUACAGGUGGUGCAUGGUUGUCGUCAGCUCGUGUCGUGAGAUGUUGGGUUAAGUCCCGCAACGAGCGCAACCCUCGUUCUAUGUUGCCAGCACAUCAUGGUGGGGACUCAUAGGAGACUGCCGGGGUCAACUCGGAGGAAGGUGGGGACGACGUCAAAUCAUCAUGCCCCUUAUGUCUUGGGCUGCACAUAUGCUACAAUGGCCGGUACAAAGGGCUGCUAAGCCGUGAGGUGGAGCGAAUCCCAAAAAGCCGGUCUCAGCUCGGAUUGGGGUCUGCAACUCGACCCCAUGAAGUCGGAGUUGCUAGUAAUCGCAGAUCAGCAACGCCGCGGUGAAUACGUUCCCGGG
rnacentral:rRNA from 1 species